rnacentral:rRNA from 1 species
CAUGCAGUCGAGGGGCAACAGGGGUAGCAAUACCUGCUGGCGACCGGCAAACGGGUGCGGAACACGUACAGAACCUUCCUUUAAGCGGGGGAUAGCCCAUAGAAAUGUGGAUUAAUACCCCAUAGUAAUAUUUGGUGGCAUCAUUAGAUAUUUAAAGAUUUAUCACUUAAAGAUGGCUGUGCGGCUGAUUAGGUAGUUGGUGAGGGUAACGGCCCACCAAGCCAUCGAUCAGUAACUGGUGUGAGAGCACGACCAGUCACACGGGCACUGAGACACGGGCCCGACUCCUACGGGAGGCAGCAGUAAGGAAUAUUGGUCAAUGGACGCAAGUCUGAACCAGCCAUGCCGCGUGAAGGAUGAAGGCCCUCUGGGUUGUAAACUUCUUUUAUCUGGGAAGAAAUGCUUGUUUUCUAACGAGUUUGACGGUACCAGAGGAAUAAGCACCGGCUAACUCCGUGCCAGCAGCCGCGGUAAUACGGAGGGUGCAAGCGUUAUCCGGAUUCACUGGGUUUAAAGGGUGCGUAGGUGGGAAUGUAAGUCAAUGGUGAAAUCUCCGUGCUUAACAUGGAAACUGCCAUUGAUACUAUGUUUCUUGAAUUUUCUGGAGGUAAGCGGAAUAUGUCAUGUAGCGGUGAAAUGCUUAGAUAUGACAUAGAACACCAAUUGCGAAGGCAGCUUACUACAGGGAUAUUGACACUGAGGCACGAAAGCGUGGGGAUCAAACAGGAUUAGAUACCCUGGUAGUCCACGCCCUAAACGAUGGAUACUAGGUGUAUGUGGUAUCGACUCCAUAUGUGCCGUAGUUAACACAGUAAGUAUCCCGCCUGGGGAGUACGGCCGCAAGGUU